GUCAGCGCCCGCCCCUCCGCGCGCUCCCGCGCCAGCUCCGCGCGCUGUCUCCGCCCCUCGCCCCGCGCGGCAGGAGGCGUGGCUAGCCUCGUUCCCACCCCGCAGCGUACAUAUAAAGCUGGCGAGCGCGCGUAACGCCCCCUCUUUCCCCACGGAGCGCCUGCUAUGGCGGCACACGGUGUGAUGGAGAGGAGAUUUUCAUUGGUGCCAAGUACAUUGUACAUUAAGCACCUCAUGGAAGGACCAUCCCAAGUAGAAUACUGGGUACACACAAGUGGAUUUUCCUGAAAGCUGUGUAUGUUCUAAAUGAUCUCUGGGGAUAAGUUUUCAACAAAUGGAUUAGAAAAAUAUGCAUAGGAUUCAGUUAGUAUGUCAUUAGCUUUAAAAUUGAGGUAUCAGUAAUUUUGGGCAUCUUUGACAUAGUCUAGAACUGCAUGGGCUGGGGAUUUGGGAAUAGAUAUUUAUGUUGGAGGAGCUCAUAAAUGCCUGUCCUGAAGUGUUCAUACUAAAUUUAAAGUUUACUUCAGUGUAUGUUUUAAUUGGGAAUUUGAACUUUAUUGGGAAAUAAGUAUGAAAUAGUGUUUAGUCAAAGGAAGCAGGACAUCUAGAUGCUUAUUAAUAUAAAUAAGCGAAUGUUCCCAUAUUUUAAUAAA
rnacentral:lncRNA from 1 species